rnacentral:rRNA from 1 species
GGCUGCAACCCGCCUGCGUGAAGUCGGAGUUGCUAGUAAUCGCGGAUCAGCAUGCCGCGGUGAAUACGUUCCCGGGCCUUGUACACACCGCCCGUCACACCACCCGAGUCGUCUGCACCCGAAGCCGCCGGCCGAACCCCUCUGGGGGCGGAGGCGUCGAAGGUGUGGAGGGUAAGGGGGGUGAAGUCGUAACAAGGUAAC